CCCGCCUUGGGGUGUAAAGGUCUUGUCUGCCGCUCUUCUGCCCGCUGCCUGCGGGAGCCCAAGGAAAGGGAUCCCACGGGUGGUACCAUCGCAGACCUACGAUCAUCACAGUCCAGCCUGUGACCGAACACCACCGUGUCAUCUAGGCCAUGGCACUGGGUGCCACGUCCAGUGUUUCCUUUAAACACUUCCAGGGAUGGUGACUCCACCAAUACCUAACCGCCCUUUCUGUGAAGAAAUUCUUCCUAGUAUUCAACCUAAACCGCCCAUGGCACAGCUUAAGAGUUUUGUAGUCCUAGGCCUGUCACCGUCAGUCACGAUGCUCCACUACAGCAAUUCCACAAGGAUGGAUUUGCUUCCCAGUACGAGCAUUCCUUCCUCCGUCCCCACGGCCAGCCGCAGUACCCGGCGCUAAGGGCGCUCAGGACACAGCCUGCAAAAGGCACUUCUUUUCCCCCGCAAAACCCCCAAAGGACAGCAGCUCUCCAAACUACAGGAGUUAUGUUGGAAAUGCAGUCACUGUGCGCUGAGAUUCCCAGAAGCGCUCCCGUGGCUCUGGAUCCGGUGCACAUUAGAAGCAUCACAGCCCAGAGGAGGGAUCCGCACGCCGUGCAGCCCCAUCCCGAGCCGGCUGCUAUCCAGAGCGGGCUUGGAGAGGAUUCUGGCACUGACCGCCGCUCCCGAGGCUCGGGAAGGCCGGGACACAAGGUGCCAGCAUCCCCCGGGCUGGGUGGCCAGCAGAUGGCUUCACUGUGCCCAGAAGCUCCUGUCAGAAGGAAUGCGUACGGCAGGAACGCUUUGCGUGGAAAGUACAACGAAACACAGAACAGAAAUCAUCUUGGAAGCUCGGAUAGCUCUUAAGAAAAAUUGUGCUGCAAAGUUGCAAUCCCAAAGUUGCACGGGAUUGAAUGUACUGAAAGAUUUAUUCACAAAACAGCUUAUUUACUAUUUAUUAUUAUUUGCAAAAUUUUGAGUGUAUCUGGUCCUCAGAGGUAUCAUUAAUUAAGAACAACUAUCAGACUUAUCAGGAUGCAACUGUAAUAACAGAAAUAGCUGUAAGCAGUCCAGAUGCAGCCUCAAGACAGAGAAUUACAAAGGUAAGGCAAUGGGGUUAAGGAAAGAAAUAAUAUUGUUAACAGAAUUAACAGCAGCACUCUCCCCCAAGCAAAAGCAAAGCCGUUUUCAGGCCAAGCAAAUGUUGCUCCAAAUUUCUCAGGACUUCCUCAUGACUACCAGAAAUAGUUAUGUGAAAACUGGUUUUCACCAUGAUCUAGCAAGACUAGGAUAAGCACACACUUUCAGUUUAAGCACAUUUAUUUAGGAAGUAGCACUUCUGUUUACAUUAGUUUUAAGAACUUAUGUUCUUUAGAAACUGAUUUAUUUACAUUUUAUUGUUCCAUCAUCUGGUAUACAACACCUGAUGUUUUUAAAUGUUUUUUUAAAACCAGCAGCAAUUUAAUAGGCUUCAAGUUUAAUGAAAAGGCUUUUAGUUUUGGACAUUUUAUCUGAUAAACAGACAAGAAAACAGUACUAACAGGACAAAUGAAACAUUUUAUUGUAGCUAAAGCUAUGUGACUGCUUGUCAUGCUUUUUUACAUUGGUUAUUUUUAGUAAAACGGUGUUUAACAUUUCAGAAAACAUUCUUAAAAGAACAAUGAAACAAAAGUGCUUCUAAACAACAAAAUACAUAAACUAAUCCCAUCCCAGACUGGAGUUGUCCAAUAUAUUUUAUGGGGGUGUGGUAUGGUGUUUUGUCUCCACCUUUGGUCUUCAUCGCUUUAAUACAGAUUUCUGAAAAAUACCAACUAGCCCUUCACACGAGUAAAAAUGGGAAUCAUGUAGCAAAAGCAGUUUCUGUAUUUCCAGUCCCUUUGUCAGUUGUGCCACUAUUAGACAAAAUACUUUCUUCCCCAUUUCUAAUGGGAGAGAACCCUGCAUAACUGAGAGGCCACAGCCAGCAGCUUUGACCGCUACGCCUGUAUCAACCAACUACAAGGAGCACCGACCUUUAAUCCUCAAAGCCACUUCUCUGAAGAAAGCAUUUUUUAAGAAGAGUAUCUUAUGAAGGCAAGGAGAGUCUUACAGCAAAACAAGGUUCAUCACCAUAGUUUCCAGAAGUAAUGUCAAGCAUUUUCAAACCAAAACAUCAGGCUCUGAAGAAUCUGCAGUGUUGAGCCAGUAUGUUGAAUCCACCGGAGGAGUGUGUACCUUGCCAAUUAUUGCUGAACUCAGGAGGUAGUUAUUGACAAGGUAAGAAGUUUCCACUCUAAGACAGUUAAUGAUUUGCACAAGAAGCAGGAAAAACAGAAUACAGAUUUCUCCAUAUUUUACAAGAUGAUUUUGUAUUUGCAGGAAGUGACAGCUUAACUUCCUCAUCCUGUGGAAUUAAAAUUACCAUAAUUAAAAGAUACUGAAAAUUAUAAUUAAAA